UGGGGAAUUUUGCGCAAUGGGGGAAACCCUGACGCAGCAACGCCGCGUGGAGGAUGAAAUCCCUUGGGAUGUAAACUCCUUUCGAUAGGGAAGAUAAUGACGGUACCUAUAGAAGAAGCCCCGGCUAACUUCGUGCCAGCAGCCGCGGUAAUACGAGGGGGGCAAGCGUUGUUCGGAUUUAUUGGGCGUAAAGGGUGCGUAGGCGGUUUGGCAAGUCUUGUGUGAAAUCUUUGGGCUCAACCCAAAGUCUGCAUAAGAAACUGCCGGGCUUGAGUAUGGGAGAGGUGAGUGGAAUUUCCGGUGUAGCGGUGAAAUGCGUAGAUAUCGGAAGGAACACCUGUGGCGAAAGCGGCUCACUGGACCAUUACUGACGCUGAGGCACGAAAGCUAGGGGAGCAAACA
rnacentral:rRNA from 1 species